UGCCUCAGCUGAAUAAGAGACCACCUGUCUUUUAUCAGUGUUAUCAGAGACACCUGAGGGCAGUUCCACAAUAGCAUCUUGAACAACACUGCAUGAUCCAGGCCCUUCAUCCUCUUCUAGUGUGCGAAUGUGUUCCAAAACAGGGUUAGAAUCACCAGAAACAUCACUACAACUAACCACAGGAUUUGGUGGAAGCUGGCUGUCAUUCAAUUCCUCUCCCUCAGGCUACGGACUUGCUGAAAAACGUGAGCUACGUAUGUGGCCACCCAGAAAUGAAAACAGACACCCAAGGAGCCAUCGCAAACUGUCAGCAACUGCGUACACACGUGCAGCAUCGGUGCAGAUGCGGGGAACACAGCCAAUCAGCGGCCUGUUACUAUAGUAAGCGUCACUACAAAAGUACCUUGGCGCAUGUGCAGUGCAAUCGCAGCGCAUCCGCAGUCCGCCGAUAACACCGGUCUACAUGAAUUUUGAGUCUUGGUUCUGUAUAUCUGAUUUUUAUUUCUUCCACUUUACUAAUUAAAGAAAAAAUACUGUAGUUUUACCCAAAAAAGUUUGCUUUUGUAGCUAUCAGAAAGAAAUUACGGAUUUUAAGUCCCUAUUUAUUGUAUGUAAAAAUAAAACAAUCUUUUGUUAUGAA